rnacentral:rRNA from 1 species
CACGUAGGCGGAUCAGAAAGUCAGAGGUGAAAUCCCAGGGCUCAACCUUGGAACUGCCUUUGAAACUCCUGAUCUUGAGGUCGAGAGAGGUGAGUGGAAUUCCGAGUGUAGAGGUGAAAUUCGUAGAUAUAUGGAGGAACACCGGUGGCGAAGGCGGCUUACUGGGCUUUUACUGACGCUGAGGCUCGAAAGCGUGGGGAGCAAACA